AGUGAACGCUGGCGGUAGGCCUAACACAUGCAAGUCGAACGGCAGCACAGUAAGAGCUUGCUCUUACGGUUGGCGAGUGGCGGACGGGUGAGGAAUACAUCGGAAUCUACUUUUUCGUGGGGGAUAACGUAGGGAAACUUACGCUAAUACCGCAUACGACCUACGGGUGAAAGCAGGGGAUCUUCGGACCUUGCGCGAUUGAAUGAGCCGAUGUCGGAUUAGCUAGUUGGCGGGGUAAAGGCCCACCAAGGCGACGAUCCGUAGCUGGUCUGAGAGGAUGAUCAGCCACACUGGAACUGAGACACGGUCCAGACUACUACGGGAGGCAGCAGUGGGGAAUAUUGGACAAUGGGCGCAAGCCUGAUACAGCCAUACCGAGUGGGUGAAGAAGGCCUUCGGGUUGUAAAGCCCUUUUGUUGGGAAAGAAAAGCAGCAGGUUAAUACCCCGCUGUUCUGACGGUACCCAAAGAAUAAGCACCGGCUAACUUCGUG
rnacentral:rRNA from 1 species